CCUACGGGAGGCAGCAGUGAGGAAUAUUGGUCAAUGGGCGGAAGCCUGAACCAGCCAAGUAGCGUGCAGGAUGACGGCCCUACGGGUUGUAAACUGCUUUUAUACGGUAAUAACGCGCCUUACGUGUAGGGCUUUGCAUGUACCUUAUGAAUAAGGACCGGCUAAUUCCGUGCCAGCAGCCGCGGUAAUACGGAGGGUCCGGGCGUUAUCCGGAUUUAUUGGGUUUAAAGGGAGCGUAGGCCGCAUGUCAAGCUUGCUGUGAAAUGUCCGGGCUCAACCCGGGCCUUGCAGCGCGAACUGGCGUGCUUGAGUCCGCGGAAGGCAGGCGGAAUUCGACGUGUAGCGGUGAAAUGCUUAGAUAUGACGAAGAACCCCGAUGGCGAAGGCAGCUCGCUGCAGCGGAACUGACGCUGAUGCUCGAAAGCGCGGGUAUCGAACAGGAUUAGAUACCCCAGUAGUC
rnacentral:rRNA from 1 species